rnacentral:rRNA from 1 species
GACGAACCGUGCGAACGUUGUUCGGAAUCACUGGGCUUAAAGGGCGCGUAGGCGGGCGGGCAAGUCGGAGGUGAAAGCCCACAGCUCAACUGUGGAAGUGCCUUCGAUACUGCCGGUCUAGAGGGAGGUAGGGGCGUGCGGAACUUCCGGUGGAGCGGUGAAAUGCGUAGAUAUCGGAAGGAACACCGGUGGCGAAAGCGGCGCGCUGGAUCUCUACUGACGCUGAGGCGCGAAAGCUAGGGGAGCAAACGGG